AAGUAAACGAACAUGAAAUUCAAAGGGAAACAGGAACAAUAAUCAUUACCAGCUGCCGUGUUAAGCAUUGUGAAAACGCUCACGAUUCACAGAAAAAUCCAUGCUGUUCUUUGAAGGCAUUCAAGCCUUAAUAGCUAGCUGGAUGAAUGUUUAACUUCUAGGCCAGGCACUACUCUGUCCCAACAAUAAGCCCUGUACAUUGGGAAAGGUGCCGAAGACAUGAACUUUGGUCUUCUCUGCAAUCCCUCUGGAGCAUUCAGUGACAACGUCGACUUUGAAGUUGCACUGACCUGGCCAGCCCUGCCACUUACCAGGUUGGGCUGUGGCUUGCCUUUUCACUUCUUGUGUCCUGUUUAAGAAAUAUCUGCUAUCCCAAGCAUCUGGCAUCUUUCUUGACAUACGUAGCAGUUGCUUUUUGACAGCUUGCUUCUGGAGUGAAUGAAUAAAUUAAUAAAUUUAUUCAUUUGAUAUUCAGUGACAUGUGAUAUUCAGUGAUCCAUUUUGCAGAUAACACUAACAAAGUUGACCUUAGAAUUGGAGUGCCCGGGUUAGAACCUUGCUGGUACCACCUGCUUACUGCAUGCUUCUGAUGUGAGUUCAGGAGAAGCCACUGGCAAGGACAGCAAAGAACAGGAGAACACUCUAGCUUCCCUGAUAGCAUUCAAGGUGCUGUCCAAACUGACUGUGAUGGCACCCUCCAGACAGACAGCGAUGCCACAUGUUCAAGAUGGCAGAAUCACUAACAGCUUCAAUUCCUGAAUGACUGCAGAGCAAAAUUUCUUACCCGCAACAUACACUCUAUUUUCAGCCUCCCUGGACUGUUACAUAAUGAUACAUAAAAAUAUUUCUUGUGUUGAGGCAUCCCAAAUUUGAUCUAUUUGUCAUCACAGUUUAUCCUACGAAUAUAUUUCUGAUCCAAAUAAUGCUAGAUUCAUGAGAGUUUAUAGUCCAGAGAUUUUUUUUUUUUUUUUUUUUUGAGACAGAAUCUCACUGUCUGCCAGGCUGGGGUGCAGUGGCAUAAUCUUAGCUCACUGCAACCUCCGCCUCCUGGGCUCAAGUGAUCCUCCCUCCUUAGCCUCCAUGAAUAGCUGGGACCACAGGUGUGCACCACCCCACCCAGCUAAUUAUUUUGUAUUUUUUGCAGAGACGGGGUUUCACCACAUUGCCCAAGCUGGUCUCAAACUCCUAGACUUAAGGGAUCUUCCCGCCUUGGCCUCCCAAAAUGCUGAAAUUACAUGUGUUAGCCAUAGUAAUAGUUCCUAGCCAUAGUCCAGAGAUAUUUUAAAAACUUUAGUGUGAGUUAUUUCUCUUUGCUAUAAUUCUCUCAUGCAUUUUGAAAACCUUUUCUGCCAUACAGUGGUUUUUGGGAAGUCCUUUUGGACAGACAUAUCACAGGAUGGAGAAACUAAAAA
rnacentral:lncRNA from 1 species